AUUGAACGCUGGCGGCGUGCCUAACACAUGCAAGUCGAGCGGUAACAGGUGUAGCAAUACAUGCUGACGAGCGGCGGACGGGUGAGUAACGCUUGGGAAUCUGCCUAUUAGUGGGGGACAACCCGGGGAAACUCGGGCUAAUACCGCAUACGCACUACGGUGGAAAGCCCGGGGACCGCAAGGCCUGGCGCUAACAGAUGAGCCCAAGUCGGAUUAGCUAGUUGGUAGGGUAACGGCCACCAAGGCGACGAUCCGUAACUGGUCUGAGAGGACGACCAGUCACACCGGAACUGAGACGCGGUCCGGACUCCUACGGGAGGCAGCAGUGGGGAAUAUUGGACAAUGGGCGAAAGCCUGAUCCAGCGACGCCGCGUGGGUGAAGAAGGCCUGCGGGUUGUAAAGCCCUUUCAGGUGGGGAAGAAAAGCCUCGAGCUAACACCUCGGGGUCUUGACGUAACCCAUAGAAGAAGCACCGGCUAACUC
rnacentral:rRNA from 1 species